CGGAGACAGAAGAAAAAACGACAUAGAACGGAAGAAAAUAGACAAGAAUACAAGCAAAGAUAUACGGAGAGAAAAAACUGCUGUCUGGAGCUAGGAGCAGCACUGAUAUACUACCAAUAUAUUACGGAAGCUGGCAGAGCCCACUGAAAAUAAGGAGGGGCUCACCUCUACCUCAUAUGACCCACUGUCAGACAGCACAGAGGACACAUACAAGAUGAAGGCGCAUUUCACUACCUGCAUAUACUCUCUCCUUCAUGUGUUCCUGGAAUCGCUGAGCAAAGAAGAAUGGAGGUACCCUGCCUCUUCUGACUGACAGUAAAUUUCAUGCUCUAAAUUUAUUUAUGUUCAGUUUACCUUAACUUCAU